ACUUUAUAUUUAUUGUUGUAUUAAUAUUUUUUGUUUAUAAUAUAUUGUAUUUUUAUAAAUAUUUUGUUGGGGCGACAAGAAAAUUUAUUUAACUUUUUUUAUAGAUUUCAUUAAUUUAUGUAUAAAUGAUCCUUUACUAAGGAUAAUUAGAAUAAGU
rnacentral:rRNA from 1 species